ACGCUCGACACCUACGGGAGCAGCAGUUGGGAAUAUUGGACAAUGGAGGAAACUCUGAUCCAGUGACGCCGCGUGAAGGAAGAAGGUCUUCGGAUUGUAAACUUAUUUUGUCAGGGAAGAAAAAUGACUGUACCUGAAGAAAAAGCACCGGCUAACUACGUGCCAGCAGCGCGGUAAUCUGAGGCGGGCUGGCAAGGC
rnacentral:rRNA from 1 species